CUAUUACUCCCUCCGUUUCAUAUUAAGUGUCACAACUUUGUUUAGAUAUGCAUGUGCGUAGACGCGUUUUACUGUGUAGGUAUAUGCGUAUUUAUUGCGACACUUAAUAUGGUACGGAUGGAGUAUAUA
rnacentral:pre_miRNA from 1 species